GAUCAUGGCUCAGGAUGAACGCUGGCGGCGUGCCUAAUACAUGCAAGUCGAGCGAACAGAUAAGGAGCUUGCUCCUUUGACGUUAGCGGCGGACGGGUGAGUAACACGUGGGUAACCUACCUAUAAGACUGGGAUAACUUCGGGAAACCGGAGCUAAUACCGGAUAACAUUUGGAACCGCAUGGUUCUAAAGUGAAAGAUGGUUUUUGCUAUCACUUAUAGAUGGACCCGCGCCGUAUUAGCUAGUUGGUAAGGUAACGGCUUACCAAGGCGACGAUACGUAGCCGACCUAAGAGGGUGAUCGGCCACACUGGAACUGAGACACGGUCCAGACUCCUACGGGAGGCAGCAGUAGGGAAUCUUCCGCAAUGGGCGAAAGCCUGACGGAGCAACGCCGCGUGAGUGAUGAAGGGUUUCGGCUCGUAAAACUCUGUUAUUAGGGAAGAACAAAUGUGUAAGUAACUGUGCACGUCUUGACGGUACCUAAUCAGAAAGCCACGGCUAACUACGUGCCAGCCGCCGC
rnacentral:rRNA from 1 species